rnacentral:rRNA from 1 species
GGGAGGCAGCAGUAAGGCCUAUUGGACAAUGGUCGCAAGACUGAUCCAGCCAUGCCGCGUGCAGGAUGAACGAUCUAUGAUCUGUAAACUGCUUUUGUUCGGGAAUAAACCCCUUCACGUGUGGAGGGCUGAAUGUACCGAAAGAAUAAGGGUCGGCUAACUUCGUGCCAGCAGCCGCGGUAAGACGAAGGACCCAAGCGUUAUCCGGAUUUAUUGGGUUUAAAGGGUGCGUAGGCGGGUUGUUAAGUCAGUGGUGAAAGCCUAGAGCUUAACUCUAGAAUUGCCAUUGAUACUGACGAUCUUGAGGAUAGUUGAGGUGGGCGGAAUGUAUCAUGUAGCGGUGAAAUGCUUAGAGAUGAUACAGAACACCGAUUGCGAAGGCAGCUCACUAAGCUAUUUCUGACGCUGAGGCACGAAAGCGUGGGGAUCAAACAGGAUUAGAUACCC